rnacentral:rRNA from 1 species
AGAGUUUGAUUAUGGCUCAGGAUGAACGCUGGCGGCGUGGAUAAGGCAUGCAAGUCGAGUGGGUUUAGGCCCACGGCAAACGGGUUCGGAAUACAUAGGAAUUUUCCCCAGAGUCGUGAAUAAUUCGGAGAAAUCCGAGCUAAUACACGAUACGCUCUACGGAGUAAAGAUUUAUCGCUUUGGGAUGAGCCUGUGUCCUAUCAGCUUGUUGGUGAGGUAAAAGCUCACCAAGGCUCUGACGGGUAGGGGGUGUGAGAGCAUGACCCCCAACAUUGGAACUGAGACACUGUCCAAACACCUACGGGUGGCUGCAGUCGAGAAUAUUCCACAAUGGACGAAAGUCUGAUGGAGCGACGCCGCGUGCGGGAUGAAGGCCUUCGGGUUGUAAACCGCUUUUUUCAGGGAGCAAUUUCGAUGAGAGUACCUGAAGAAUAAGAGGUUACUAACUCUGUGCCAGCCGCCGCGGUAA